rnacentral:rRNA from 1 species
GGGUCAGUAGGUUGGUCGUGCCACCGGUACGUACUGGUCUCACUGAUUCCUCCUUCCUGAUGAGCUGUAAUGCCAUUAAUUUGGUGUUGCAGGGAAUCUGGACUGUUACUUUGAAAAAUUAGAGUGUUUAAAGCAGGCUAACGCUUGAAUACAUUAGCAUGGAAUAAUGAAAUAGGACGUUCGAUCCUAUUUUGUUGGUUUCUAGGAUUGACGUAAUGAUUAAUA